rnacentral:rRNA from 1 species
GAUGAACGCUGGCGGCGUGCCUAAUACAUGCAAGUAGAACGCUGAAGGAGGAGCUUGCUCUUCUGGAUGAGUUGCGAACGGGUGAGUAACGCGUAGGUAACCUGCCUGGUAGCGGGGGAUAACUAUUGGAAACGAUAGCUAAUACCGCAUGACAACAGUUAUUGCAUGAUAACUGUUUAAAAGGGGCAACUGCUCCACUACCAGAUGGACCUGCGUUGUAUUAGCUAGUUGGUGAGGUAACGGCUCACCAAGGCGACGAUACUUAGCCGACCUGAGAGGGUGAUCGGCCACACUGGGACUGAGACACGGCCCAGACUCCUACGGGAGGCAGCAGUAGGGAAUCUUCGGCAAUGGACGGAAGUCUGACCGAGCAACGCCGCGUGAGUGAAGAAGGUUUUCGGAUCGUAAAGCUCUGUUGUAAGAGAAGAACGAGUGUGAGAGUGGAAAGUUCACACUGUGACGGUAUCUUACCAGAAAGGGACGGCUAACUACGUG